UUUCCGUAGGUGAACCUGCGGAAGGAUCAUUACUGAGUGAGGGCCCCUCGGGGUCCAACCUCCCACCCGUGUUUAACGAACCUUGUCGCUUCGGCGGGCCCGCCUCACGGCCGCCGGGGGGCAUCUGCCCCCGGGCCCGCGCCCGCCGAAGCCACCUGUGAACGCUGUCUGAAGUAUGCAGUCUGAGACAAUUAUUAAAUUAAUUAAAACUUUCAACAACGGAUCUCUUGGUUCC
rnacentral:misc_RNA from 1 species